CGUUUUUAUCUGGGACUUCUGCCAAUUUAAUGUGACUCAUUCGCUAACAUAUGCAUUAUUGUUUGGUAGGGAAGUACGAAGAAAAAGAAUUACAAGGCAACUAACAUGGGCUUGUGAGUAAAUAAAUAAAACAUGUAUUUUUAGAUACACAUGUGCUUUCUACUUACUAUUUAUAAACAACAUUCUAAAUUUCAACUGCUGUGGUUUUGUAUGUCAAAUUCCCACUAAAUAAUCAGUGUUGCUGAAAAAGCUUUACUGUAAACUUGGAAAAUGUAUCAUAUGCAGGAUACACCAUUGUAAAAUAUAUAUUUAAAUGGAAUCUGACCUACUUACCUGCCCCUCCCCCACUGCAAUCUCCCAGCAUUGUACAGGCUUAAAUAACCCAAUGUUCACUUAAGAGAU